UAGGGAAUCUUCGGCAAUGGACGAAAGUCUGACCGAGCAACGCCGCGUGAGUGAAGAAGGUUUUCGGAUCGUAAAACUCUGUUGUUAGAGAAGAACAAGGACGUUAGUAACUGAACGUCCCCUGACGGUAUCUAACCAGAAAGCCACGGCUAACUACGUGCCAGCAGCCGCGGUAAUACGUAGGUGGCAAGCGUUGUCCGGAUUUAUUGGUCGUAAAGCGAGCGCAGGCGGUUUCUUAAGUCUGAUGUGAAAGCCCCCGGCUCAACCGGGGAGGGUCAUUGGAAACUGGGAGACUUGAGUGCAGAAGAGGAGAGUGGAAUUCCAUGUGUAGCGGUGAAAUGCGUAGAUAUAUGGAGGAACACCAGUGGCGAAGGCGGCUCUCUGGUCUGUAACUGACGCUGAGGCUCGAAAGCGUGGGGAGCAAACAGG
rnacentral:rRNA from 1 species